UUUACAACACAUUUGGAUCUCAAUCCCAUUGUGUGCAAAAAGUACAUUUACUGUCCAGAACAUCAAGACUAAACUUUUAAAGAUGAUCUAAAAUGGAAUGAAAUUAGAUUAUGGGAGGUGACAGUCAUGUGUAGAAUGUUGCAAAGACAUGAUGACUUUAAACAGUCAGUCACAGACUUUCAUCAUAAGGAAACAGUCACAAACUAGCACUGCGGUGGUGACUACAUUAAGGGAGUCCAGCGCAAAGUAGAGAAACAAUAAGCUACCAUCAAUUUCCCUUCAUUCAUGUAUCAUUCCUCCUCAUUCAUUCGCUUGCUUCCCCAGUGAGAUUUACAGCAGCAGUGCCAUCGAAUUUCACAGCGACUGACCGGCAGUCAUGUGACCAGAACAGACCUGAGCAGAGAGGCUUAGUACCAAUCUGAGGCUAAAACCAAAACGCCGUCCAUUUGGAGCAACCCCAAAGUGUCGCAUCACUCUUCUAGGAUUGAAAUUCAGACAUUACGUCGGCAAGGUCAUGCCUUUUCCAGUGUUGAUCAUUAGAAGCUAUAUUUAUUCAGAUGUGGGCGGAGGUGUAAGAAGGUGAGGGGGACACGUACCAGCUUCUUCUCUCAACACAUUAACAAGCUAAUCAGUUGAGUAGUUAGCUCAAUGUCAUUCAUGUCGCACAACAACCUUUGUUUAUAUCCUAAGACUUUAAUAACAAGAUGCUCGGCCUUACCUUCUUCACUAUAUCCUUGAAUGGCUUGGGAGUAUUUUUCCAGCGCUUCGCCAAACUGUCCAUUCUUAAACAGCAGGUUUCCUUCAUUCUUUAAGCGGGAUAGAGACAAGGGGAGGGCUCCACACAGCACAUCGAGAUUGACAGGUUCGCCAACAUUUGGAGCUGCUGGAGCUUUCUUGCUGCUGC